rnacentral:lncRNA from 1 species
GGAAGUUAAUUUUGUAAUUGUAUAUAUGUAUAAAACACUUAGUGUACAUUCAACCCAGUUUAGUGGUGAGUUCUUUAGCCUUUGCUUUUUUAACUGGGAAAUAUUUUAUGUAUUUAUUAUAUUAUUGCUCCCCCCACCUCUUUCCUAUUUGCCCUUCUUUUCUCUAUUUUUGGUAGUAUGCUAACUUUGUAUUAUUUUCUUUUAAAUCUCAUGUUUCCAUUCUUAAAAUACUUUGUCUUAAUCCUUUGAGGAUUCCAUACCCUGUAUUUUGAACACAUUCUCUCUGCCCUUAACUGCUUCUCUUACCACCCUUUCAGCCCUCCCAUCUCUUCUUACGCAACUCUGAGAUCUAUUGAACUCUUUCCCAGUAGUCUAGUUUUUGUUGCAGUCUUGGCCUGUUCUGGAAGGUGAUCAGUCCUCUAGGUAACAUUUAAAGAAGUGAGCCAUCAUUGCCAAUCUGCUUCUCAGUUAGUGAUGGGAUUAUAUACCCACCUUUCCCUUUAAUACUGGGUCUUUAUCUGGCUGAGCUUUUGCAGGCCUUGUGCAUGUGGUCCCAAUUGCUGUGAGUUCAUACCUGUGUCUGCCAUUUGUGUCUGGAAGACAUGUUUCCUUGUCACUAUCUAUUAUCUCUAAUUCUUAGUCUUUUUGUCUUCUCUUCUAGAAAGAUCCCUGAACCUAGGGAUGAGGUAUUCAUGUCUACUUGGGGGCUGACCACUCAACUAUUAUUGACCAGUGGGACUAAGAACUAACCUCUCAGGAGAUUGACCUGCUCAAUUAGAAGAUCCAUAUCAAAGCCAACAGACCAGUGAAUCGUCGAACAAAUCAGGAAGGAAAAUGUAAAAUUUCUAGACAAAUGAUGAUCAAAACAAAACGUACCAGAAACUUUGUGCCACACCUAAACUAGUUAGGAGAGGAAAGUUCACAACUCUGAGUCUUACAUUAAAAAAAAAUAAUAAAGUCAUCUCAUGAAAGUCUUAGAAAAACACGAAUGAUCCAAACCAAAAGCAUUUGGCAAAAAGAAACAACAAAGGUCAGGGCAGAGAUUAAUGACAGACUGAAAGAACAAUAUAUAAACUCAAACAGUUGGUUUUUUGGAAAGACAACCAAGAUUGACAAGCCUCUACUAAAUUUGAGAGAAGACCUCAGUUAGUAAAACAAGAGAUGAUAUAUAUCAGAGUCCAAUAGAUUCUGGAGAACUACUAGGAAUCCUUUGACAACUUUUUUUAAUUAGCUGAAAAGUCUAGAAGAAAUGAAUAUAUUCAUAAACACAUAUGAACUAUCAAACUUAGAAAGAUAUAAACAGUUUAAAUAGACCCAUAGCAAGCACUUAGGGUAAAGCAGUGUUUUAAAAAGCAUCACAAAAAGUCCCAGGACUGACAAAUGUAUCAAGUUGUACCAAACUUCUCAGGAAGAAGCUGAUGCCAUCACCCCUCAUGCUGUUUCACAAACAUGGGGAAGGAGUUGUCACCACUGCUGAACUUGCCACUGUUACAUUUCUCCAAGAUCCUGCUUUGUGAGGAAUGGGGCUGGUUCAGUUGAUAAUUUAAAUGUCAUAAUGUUAGACUUCAGGAAAUUUUUAUAUGUUAUCAACUAUUCAAAAGCAAUAUGUAUGCAUAUGUAUGUGUAAGCGUGUGUGUGCGUGUGUGAUUUUAUCACAUCCCUAUUCAUUUGCUAUAGCAGCAGCAUAUUACAGGUUCUCAGUGGAGCAGGAAGGAUGAUGUUCUAUGUCUGUCUUAUAUAAGAAUUCUUUUGAGAAACUACCAUGUUUGCAAAAUCCUGGAAGCCAUAAAUGUUUAAUAUUUUUCUAGUAUAUGACAAAUGACCAAAUGUUUGUGUUUGGGGUUGGCUAUAGUUUUUAGAAUUGAGAAAUGUACAUAUUCAAACAAUGUCAAAGGACUGACAACUCAAUGCAAUAGAUCUUUCUAGAAAUAGCUAAUGUCAAGAUUUUUCAAGAUUUCUUAUUCGCAAUCAGCAUUAUCAGUAUAUUUUCUUUGCACUAAAGGAACAUCAUAGUAUAUAUGCUCCAUUGUAGUUUGCUUUUUGCUUUUAACAGGCAUAGUUUGGAAUAAUUUGAAACAGGUGGUAGCAAUCAUUUUGGGGCUUGUUAUAUUUUACUUGUAAGAUAAUUUCUAAGAUUUGAAUUUUUACAUUAAAGAUUUCUGUAUUCCAAAUUUUGUAGAUACUGAUAACUCAAUUACCUUCUGAAAAGAAGCACAACAAUUUAAUUUUAACAAUAAAGACUGUGUCUUUUCCUGGCAUCUUCAGUCCCAACUUUAAAACUCUUUCAUCUUUACCAAUCAUGUGAGUGAAACCAGAACAAAUAAAUACAUUUCUUUUGUCCCUUUCUUUUAAGAUCCUAGCUGAAAAUUCAUUAGAAGUCGCUGGCUGUCUUUAGGAAAUUAUCUCGUCAUAAUUCUUUUGUA